rnacentral:lncRNA from 1 species
GUUCUCCUCCUUCAAAGUUUCAGAUGAUCUUAUUCUAUCAGUAGAGAUUUGAAAAAAUAGUCCUUCCCGGUCAUACAUACAAAAUAUGUGAAAAGUUAUCAUAUAUUAGCCGACAACGUCCCUAAGAAGCAGAUUUGUCAGAGAGCUAAAAGUGAUAUUGUUCUUGCAACAACGAGUGGUGAAUUGCUUCAAGGUAUCUAUACCAAGCUUGAUAUCAAGAUGCAUAUUCUAGAGGCUACCAACUUAUUAAGGAAUUGCUUAUUAGUGACUGCUAAAAACCACAUUCCUCCAAAACCAUGGCAUUGGAAAAUGUAGAAUUUGAGAGACUUUAGGAGUAAUUUUAUAAUGAUAUAUAAAAACUGUAUGGAAAAUUUAGAUAUCCCGAAAUCUUGGGAUAGAAAAUAUAGAGAUCUUUACUAUAUAUUUAUGACAACAAAAAAUUUAAUGGACAGUUUCAAAUCUCGGCUGGCCUUAUUUUUUUAAAUGACCAUGUGUGGACAAACUUUUCACUCCUCGAUCCACACUUUCGUAGAUUGUCGCAGUGCUUGAAUUCUAAAAGUGUUUAUUUCUUUAAAUCUUAUGGGACUAGAUGACCAAGAAUCAAAAUUAACAAAAGUACUAGUUUUAUACUGAUAUUACAAAGCUUUUUAAAAAAAAAAGUAUUUCUAUAGAGACUGAUUGUACUUCUAAUGGUGGAUUGCAUGUUAUAUUAUUAAGUUGUUUU